AUUAGAGUGACUGAAGUAAGUUAUGGUCUCUUAAACCAAAAAAUAAUAUGUAACAUAUAUUCCUAAUA
rnacentral:tRNA from 1 species